CACCUACUCCCUCCAUUCGGAAUUACUCGUCCAAAAAAUGAAUGUAUCUAGAUGUAUUUUAGUUGUAGAUACAUCCAUUUUUAUGACAAGUAAUUCCGAACGGAGGGAGUACGUG
rnacentral:pre_miRNA from 1 species